AACGCACAUUGCGCCCGUUGGUAUUCCGACGGGCACGUCUGUUUGAGCGUCAUUACAACCCCUCAGCCUGCUUGGAUUUUAUCCAUACGGCUGGUCUUGAGCUCUGUCGUCCUGAGAAGGAAGUCUGGCUUUAAAGUUGCACGCUCUGCGGGCCUGACCCUUCAAUAGAACAUAGUAUAAUCGCUAUUUGUUCCUAUGAGGUGAGUCUGGAUUCCGCCUGAACAAACUGUCAUAACCUGAAGUUUGACCUCAGAUCAGACGAGGAUACCCGCUGAACUUAA
rnacentral:misc_RNA from 1 species